rnacentral:tRNA from 1 species
GUCGCCGGUCGACCGCGGCGACCUGCUGACGUCCGACGUCAGCGGUGGCACACGGCUGACGUCCGGCUCCGUCGCCGGCGGCGGCACC